rnacentral:lncRNA from 1 species
GUUAGGGAGGGGAAAAAAAAGCCCCUUUGGAUCCACAGCUGGUAACCAGAUUGAACAAAAGGCAUCCUCUGGUCAGCAUUGUUCUUCCUGUUGUACAUGUGAAUUGUGCAGUGUGUGAGUCAAAUGUUUGAACACUGUAUGGGCUGACAGGAUGUUGGGUCGGGAUGCCAGCUACCAAUAGAGCAUCAGCAGAAACAAUCCAAUUUUCUAUGGAUUUGUUCUUUUUCUUUUUUUCCCCCUUUCUUUUUGGAUGUUUUGGAGAUACUAGAAAGUCCCAGCAAACUCCUGCUCCAGCCCCUUUUAAUCUUUGGACACAGCCUGUAAAAGGAGUAAUCUCAAAGGAAGCAUAGCAAACUCAGCUCAGGGAGCUACCAGAGAAAAUAGCAACUAAUGUAUGUUUUUUCUUUCUUUCUUCGUUUUUUUUUUUUUUUUUUUUUUUGUAUUUGAAUAAAAAUUAAGAAUUAGAAUGGAUGGUCUUUUUAACUGCAUCUUCUUAACCCUCUCCCAACCACUGUUUCCUCCAUUUCUCAAGGGGGGGGGGAGGGAAUUUAUUGGCUUCCGAGGGUACAUGUGAAAGGUCAGUAGGCUCCUAACAGUCAGUCACUUUGGUGACUGGCUUCAAUGGAUUGAAAUUGGAAACAGCCUGUCUUGGGUCUACUAUUGCCACUUUUUGUACCAAAAUGAGUUUUGAUUGUUUUUCAUUUUUGUUUUGAUUUUUUUUUUUUUUUUUAAGAAGAUGACGCUAAUGGCCAUGUGAGUCCUUGUGUAGAAGAUGGGCUCACCCAGUGAUGUAGCAUAUGGAAGAGAAUUUUUAUACGACAUUUUUAUGGAUUAUUUUUUAAUUUUUGAUUCAAUCUGGUCAAAAGGAACUAGGGGAUGGGGUAUGAUGAAAACUACCUGUCUUAAAAAUUAAAAGUUCUUUGUAGGGCAAAACAUUCUAUAUGUAAUUAAAAGGAUGAAGAGGUGGGUGUUAUGGACCUUUCUCUGUUGCUAUAAGGGGGAGCUGUACUUUUCUGCGCCUCUUUGUAUUCCAAAUGUUUAGCCAUUGCCUUUCCAUGGUGUUUGCCAUGAGGGAGGAAGAGGAUGGAAGGGACUUGACUCUUACAAAAAAAAAAAAAAUAAGAAAAGAAAAAUGAGAAGUAAUUGUAAUGAG